rnacentral:rRNA from 1 species
GACGAACGCUGGCGGCGUGCUUAACACAUGCAAGUCGAACGGAAAGGCCCUGCUUGCAUGGUACUCGAGUGGCGAACGGGUGAGUAACACGUGGGUGAUCUGCCCUGCACUUCGGGAUAAGCCUGGGAAACUGGGUCUAAUACCGGAUAGGAGCCAUUUUUAUUGUGAUGGUUGGAAAGUUUUUUCGGUGUAGGAUGAGCUCGCGGCCUAUCAGCUUGUUGGUGGGGUAAUGGCCUACCAAGGCGGCGACGGGUAGCCGGCCUGAGAGGGUGGACGGCCACAUUGGGACUGAGAUACGGCCCAGACUCCUACGGGAGGCAGCAGUGGGGAAUAUUGCACAAUGGGCGCAAGCCUGAUGCAGCGACGCCGCGUGGGGGAUGACGGCCUUCGGGUUGUAAACUCCUUUCGCUAGGGACGAAGCUUUUUGUGACGGUACCUAGAUAAGAAGCACCGGCUAACUACGUG